GAGGAUGAAGAGGAGGAUGACGACUUUGAGGAUGCAAAGGCUGGAGAUGAUGAGGGCUUAUAUGACAGCAUGGGCUAAUAGGGCCUCUACUGAUGGAUGCCAUUGCAUUAGAACAGGGUUUUAUCUUUCUUUGUCUUUUGUACUUUGAAUUUCUAGAAUAGGUUAAAUUAUGUUGAGUAGUAUAGGUGUCUGUACUUGCCUGAACACCUUUUUUGACUAUGGUUUGACUUGG
rnacentral:lncRNA from 1 species